CCUACGGGCGGCUGCAGUGAGGAAUAUUGGUCAAUGGGCGCGAGCCUGAACCAGCCAAGUCGCGUGAGGGAUGACGGUCCUACGGAUUGUAAACCUCUUUUGCCGGGGAGCAAGCGUGCGUUCGUGAACGCGCGUCGAGAGUACCCGGAGAAAAAGCAUCGGCUAACUCCGUGCCAGCAGCCGCGGUAAUACGGAGGAUGCGAGCGUUAUCCGGAUUUAUUGGGUUUAAAGGGUGCGUAGGCGGGAUGCCAAGUCAGCGGUAAAAAUGCGGUGCUCAACGCCGUCGAGCCGUUGAAACUGGCGUUCUUGAGAUGUCGAGAGGUAUGCGGAAUGCGCAGUGUAGCGGUGAAAUGCUUAGAGAUUGCGCAGAACUCCGAUUGCGAAGGCAGCAUACCGGCGGCGAUCUGACGCUGAGGCACGAAAGCGUGGGUAUCGAACAGGAUUAGAUACCCGUGUAGUC
rnacentral:rRNA from 1 species